rnacentral:rRNA from 1 species
GGCGAUCGAAAAGAUUAAGCCAUGCAUGUAUAAGUUUAAUCGUUUUAACGAGAAACCGCGAACGGCUCAUUACAAUGGCCAUGAUUUACUUGAUCUUGAUUAUCUAAAUGGAUAACUGUGGAAAAGCUAGAGCUAAUACAUGCACCAAAGCUUUGUCCUCUCGGAAAAGCGCAUUUAUUAGAACACAACCACGCGGCUUCGGCUGCUUCUUGUUGACUCAGAAUAACUAAGCUGACCGCAUGGCCUUGUGCCGGCGGCGUGUCUUUCAAGCGUCCACUUUAUCAACUUGACGGGAGCAUAAUCGACUCCCGUGGUGGUGACGGAUAACGGAGGAUCAGGGUUCGACUCCGGAGAAGGGGCCUGAGAAAUGGCCACUACGUCUAAAGAUGGCAGCAGGCGCGCAAAUUACCCACUCUCGGCUCGAGGAGGUAGUGACGAGAAAUAACGAGAUCGUUCUCUUUGAGGCCGGUCAUCGGAAUGGGUACAAUUUAAACCCUUUAACGAGUAUCAAGCAGAGGGCAAGUCUGGUGCCAGCAGCCGCGGUAAUUCCAGCUCUGCUAAUACAUAGAAUUAUUGCUGCGGUUAAAAAGCUCGUAGUUGGAUUCGUAUCGGUACCCUGGGACCCUCUGGGUGUUUCUGGGUGUUAUCGAUUUAUCGUAAUGUUCGGUUUUGAGUCCUUAACAGGAUUCUUAACAGGCAUUGCAAGUUUACUUUGAACAAAUCAGAGUGCUUCAAACAGGCGUUUUCGCUUGAAUGAUCGUGCAUGGAAUAAUAGAAAACGAUUUCGGUUCAGUUUUAUUGGUUUUACGGACUGAGAUAAUGGUUAACAGAGACAAACGGGGGCAUUUGUAUGGCCCCGUGAGAGGUGAAAUUCUUGGACCGUGGCCUGACAAACUACAGCGAAAGCAUUUGCCAAGAAUGUCUUCAUUAAUCAAGAACGAAAGUCAGAGGUUCGAAGGCGAUCAGAUACCGCCCUAGUUCUGACCGUAAACGAUGCCAACUAGCGAUCCGCCGAUGGAAAUUAUAUUGCCUUGGUGGGGAGCUUCCCGGAAACGAAAGUCUUCCGGUUCCGGGGGAAGUAUGGUUGCAAAGCUGAAACUUAAAGGAAUUGACGGAAGGGCACCACCAGGAGUGGAGCCUGCGGCUUAAUUUGACUCAACACGGGGAAACUCACCCGGCCCGGACACUGUGAGGAUUGACAGAUUGAUAGCUUUUUCAUGAUUCAGUGGAUGGUGGUGCAUGGCCGUUCUUAGUUCGUGGAGUGAUUUGUCUGGUUUAUUCCGAUAACGAGCGAGACUCUAACCUACUAAAUAGCUGGUACAUAAUUUAAGUGUAUACAGCUUCUUAGAGGGAUUUGCGGUGUUCAGCCGAAAGAAAUUGAGCAAUAACAGGUCUGUGAUGCCCUUAGAUGUCCGGGGCUGCACGCGCGCUACACUGGCAAAAUCAACGUGCUUGUCCUACCCCGAAAGGGGCGGGUAAACCAUUGAAAAUUUGCCGUGAUUGGGAUCGGAAAUUGCAAUUAUUUUCCGUGAACGAGGAAUUCCAAGUAAGUGCGAGUCAUCAGCUCGCGUUGAUUACGUCCCUGCCCUUUGUACACACCGCCCGUCGCUGCCCGGGACUGAGCCAUUUCGAGAAAUUUGGGGACCGUUGUUUUAAUUUUUCUAAAUUACUUUGAUGGAAACCAAUUUAAUCGCAGUGGCUUGAACC